rnacentral:rRNA from 1 species
UGCAAGUCGAGCGGAAACGACAAYAUUGACCCUUCGGGUGAUUURUUGGGCGUCGAGCGGCGGACGGGUGAGUAAUGCCUGGGAAAUUGCCCUGAUGUGGGGGAUAACCAUUGGAAACGAUGGCUAAUACCGCAUAACGUCUACGGACCAAAGAGGGGGACCUUCGGGCCUCUCGCUUCAGGAUAUGCCCAGGUGGGAUUAGCUAGUUGGUGAGGUAAUGGCUCACCAAGGCGACGAUCCCUAGCUGGUCUGAGAGGAUGAUCAGCCACACUGGAACUGAGACACGGUCCAGACUCCUACGGGAGGCAGCAGUGGGGAAUAUUGCACAAUGGGCGCAAGCCUGAUGCAGCCAUGCCGCGUGUAUGAAGAAGGCCUUCGGGUUGUAAAGUACUUUCAGUCGUGAGGAAGGCRUURRAGUUAAUAGCUUYAKYGUUUGACGUUAGCGACAGAAGAAGCACCGGCUAACUCCGUGCCAGCAGCCGCGGUAAUACGGAGGGUGCGAGCGUUAAUCGGAAUUACUGGGCGUAAAGCGCAUGCAGGUGGUUUGUUAAGUCAGAUGUGAAAGCCCGGGGCUCAACCUCGGAACCGCAUUUGAAACUGGCAGGCUAGAGUACUGUAGAGGGGGGUAGAAUUUCAGGUGUAGCGGUGAAAUGCGUAGAGAUCUGAAGGAAUACCAGUGGCGAAGGCGGCCCCCUGGACA